ACAUGCAAGUCGUACGCACUGGCCCACUGAUUGGCGGUGCUUGCCCCUGAUUGAUUAUGGAUCACCAGUGAGUGGCGCACGGGUGAGUCACACGUAGGUAACCUGCCCCGGAGCGGGGGAUAACAUUUGGAAACGGAUGCUAAUACCGCUCAACAACAAAAGCCACAUGGCUUUUGUUUAAAAGAUGGCUUUGGCUAUACCUCUGGGAUGGACCUGCGGUGCAGUAGCUACUUGGUAAGGUAGCGGCUUACCAUGGCCAAAAUGCAAAGCCGAGUUGACAGACUGAUCCGGCACCAUGGACCUGACACCCAGUCGAUGCUCCUACAGGAAGCCUCCCUAGGGAAUCUUCCACCAUGGGCACCAGCCUGAUGGAACUACACCGCGUGAGUGAAUAAUGGUUUCCGCUCGUUAAACUCUAUUGUUGGAGAAAAACGUGGUUGAGAGUAACUGUUCACCCAAUGACCGUAUCCAACCUAAAUGUCUCGGCUAACUACCUGCCAUCCGCCGCUGUCAUACGUAGGUGGCAAUCGUUAUGUCCGGAUUUAUAGCGCGGUGAAGCGAGACGCCAGGCUGAUGCUUAGAGUCUGAUUGUGGAAGCCUUCGGCUGAACCCGAAGAAUAGUGCAUCUGGAAACCUGCGAGAACAUGAGUGCAGGAACAAGGACAAGUGGAACUCCAUGUGUAGCGAGUGGAAUUGAAUAAAACUAUAAGGAAGGAACCACCACUUGGCGAAGGCGGCAGUCUGGUUCUGCGACCUGAAACCUUGAGGCUCCGCAAACAUGGGUAGAGAACAGGAAUAAAUACCCUGGUAAUCCAUGCCGCAAACGAUGAGUGCGUAAGUCGUCUGCAGGGAUUGCCGCCCCUCACUUGCACUGAGCAUAACCGCACUAGAGCCACUCACGACUGGGGAAGUACGAACCGCAAAGUAGAUAGACUCAAAGGAGCACUUGACAGGCGGCCCGCACACAUAGUCGGUGGAACUCAUGUGCUUUGAAGUCCGAAGCUACGCGAAGACACCGUACCCGGUUUUGACAUUCUGCGGUCCACUUAGAGAUAAGGCGUUCCCUUUGGGGACCAAAUGACCGGUGGUGCAUGGUCGUUGUCAGCUUGUGUUGUGAGAUGUUGGGUUAAGUCCCGCAACGAGCGCAACCCUUGUUAGUAGUUGCCAGCCUUAAGUUGGGCCCUUUAGUGAGACCGCCGGUGACAAACCGGAGGAAGGGGGGGAAGAAGUCAAAUCAUCCUGCCCCUUAUGACCUGGGCUACCCCCCUGCUACAAUGGACGGUACAACGAGUCGCAAGCUCGCGAGAGUUAGCUAAUUUUUUAAAGCCGUUUUCAGUUUGGAAUGUAGGGUGCAAAUUGCCUACCAGAAGUUGGAAUCGCUUGUAAUCGCGGAUCAGCAUGCCGCGGUGAAUACGUUCCCGGGCCUUGUACACACCGCCCGUCACACCAUGGGAGUUUGGAACCCCCAAAGUCGGUGGCCUAACCUCAUGGAGGAA
rnacentral:rRNA from 1 species